UCAAAAAUGCUGAUGAUAUUUUUUAACAUUUUGUUAGUGGUAGUUCCUGGUUUAGAGGUGGUUAUAGGUCUAUGAAGAAAGAAGUGAUUCAGGUAUAUCAAGCUUUUAAUCAGUAAAGACAUUGAAUAAAGUUUUUAUAAUGUAUUAAUUUUGACUGGUGACAGUUAAUUAUCUUAACAUCUCCAUGGAAAAAGUUUAGCUAUCACUGUGAGUUCAUGCUGGUAUGGGAUUAUUUUUGCACUAUUUUAUACACCUGUUAAUUUUAAGUACUCCUGUAGACAAACCACAGGUAAAACAUUUUGUUUUGGUGUAUGUCUCAACGAGCAGUGAUUUACAAAUACUAUAUGUGUUCAGAUUCCCCAGGAAGCCAUCACACUCCUUCCCACUGUGGUUUUGGGAGCAUGAAGGCGUUGCUUAUCCCCUAUGUCUGGUUCACUGUAUGUAGGCUGGGAGUGUCUGCUGAUCACUUGGAGUGCUGUCCCUUGGAACAGGAGGAGUAAGAUUGAGGUAAGGCUCAGUCUGUUUGAAAGUCAUUUGCUUCUUAAUUUUUACUGCAUAAAAUAUAAUGUAAAUCUGAAUGUUUUUUGCUUUGUUACUCUUCAUUCUGAUCUAUUAAAAUGAAAUUCUGCCUUUUGCUGUCUAUCUCUCUGUGUAUAUAUCUUGGGCAAAAAUAAAUGAAGAAAUGUAAAAUCAAGGUAUUUAAAUAAUAAAUGAAUUCUUCAAAAUA
rnacentral:lncRNA from 1 species